UUGUAUAUAAAAACAAAACAAACAAAACCAAGCUGCUUCUCUCGGCGCAGCCCCGGAAGUCUCGAUUCUUCUGGAGGCGUUUUCAAAUCCGUCGGUGUUCUGGCAGAUUCGGAGAUAUUUUCGCAGAUCCGGUGAUACGUAUGGUGCCUAGACAUCUAGAGCUCUUGCAUAAGGGAGCUUAUCAGCGCGGCUGGCAAAACCGAAAGUGCUCAUGAAUCAAUUUCAACGAUCUAUCGCAAUUAAUGACCAUCCUGAAAGUGGAUAGCGGCCUAAGCAAAGAAUGCCACGUAUGGAUUUCCUUGCCUUGCUAGUCAGCAAGUAGCGGUCAAUAGUAAUCAAAUGGCAUGGUCAACAGCUAUCCGUUGGAUAACCUAGUCAGAGUGACGAAACACCGGUCGAACCAGAUUAACACGGGGUCUGCUACAGUGUCUUGCGUCCCAUCACGAAACAUGAAUGUCAUCAUUAAUCCGCAAAAUUGGAUAUGAUUUUAAUUCUGCUCUCGAACUAGAUGCCAUAGAUAGCUAGAUUCGACAUCUUCGGUCAUAACAGCAGCGCCCUUGGCCACUUUUUUCUUAAUAAUCGAUUGCCGCAGUCAUAGAAGAAUCUGUUCUGACAGCAGGAAUAGCAACAGGAUCUAACUUGACUCGCUAGUCGCCACCUGUAAUGUUUAUCGGAGAUCAUCCAUUCGCGAGACGGAAUUCGAGGACAACAGUGUCAACAAUAGAAAUCCUUCGAACACAUGGGAGCAUCUGAUGUAAAAAACGUUUCUUACUUUAUCACCUCUGUUUGUAUACUCACGAUAGUGCUAUCUACCGUGAGAGAAGCUUUUUGCAAGCUGUUACGAUAACGAACUGAUUCGAAUUUCGGGGAGCUAUUACCCCAUGGGGGCUGUCCAUAUACCACGUGGACACGUUUUAGUCAAUUUUCUAUGCCCCCCUCCCCCAGCGUGGACAGUUGCCCACAUAUUUUCAAAAAUUUGAUGAGACAGCCCCAUGAUAAAUUUCUUUAAAUAAGCCCCAACCGCUGAGGGCACCAGUUCUUAAAAUGCAUUUCAACUUGUUUUACUGCAUCUGUGCCGAAAAAAUAUACUCCCCAACGAGAUACAAGCAAGAACGAAGCGUUUUAUCGUUUUAUCAUAGCCACUAGGUGGGUUGCGAUACACUUUUUGAACGACGAUAUGCAGGAUAAGCUCAACAAUCUCCUCUGUAGCGGGUCUCACUUCACCAUCAACGUCAGAAAGACCAAAGGAAUUAUGGAGCGAACAAAAUACUACGUCAUCGUAGACUUCAACUUCAUCGCAUAUGGUCGAAUACAUCGACCCUGAAGAUCACAAACUUUCAAUAAAUCACAUGCAAGGGCUGGUUUCCUACAUUCUGCCGCCAGCAUCCAGGCGCUAAAGUAUAUACAGUAAUAGCAUUGGUGAUUCAAAUAUGAUAUCCACUACUUUUUGUGAGAU